CUUUUCUUUUGAUACUGAGUAAUUUUUAUGGGAUUUUCCUCUUUUUAAGUGGUAUAUAAAUGGUUUCACGAGAAGAGCAGAAGGGCAAAGAGGAAACUUAAGCAGCGCCGCGAAGAGGAAGAUAAAUAGAAUACCAAGGGACAUUGCAGAAUAUCCCUUUUUCUACUUUUUGAUUAUAGGAAAAAAACCAAGAUUGAGUGAAAUGGCUUCAACAGCUCCAUCAUCAUCAUCUGGGUUUGGGAAGAAGAGGCAGAAGAAAGGCCAAAAACAACAUGAGGUUACCAAUGUUGCAGAAUCUACUCGGAUUCGGGUUGCCCAAGUUCUUGAACAGUUCCGUGCUUCUAAUGAUGAAGUGUACACAUUUGAAUCAAACCUUUCAAAUCGCGAUAGAGCUGCAGUUCACAUGUUAUGCCGGAAAAUGGGAAUGAAAUCAAAAAGUUCUGGGCGUGGGGAUCAACGUCAUAUAUCUGUUUUCAAGAUUAAACAGAAUAUGGGCACACUGAAAGGAAAGGAUGUGCUAAGUUGUUUUAAAUUUUCGGAGGAGGCAAAAUAUGCUCUACAUGAUUUAUUUACGCGAUAUCCACCUGAUGAUGGGGAGACAAGUGAACAAGUAGUUGGGAAACACAGUAAGAAAUUUGAUAAAUUACAAGGAAAGAAGGAUGAUAUGUUCUGUAAACCUGUGAUGAGCAUGUCUGAAAUUGCAAAAAGGGUGGAGUCAUUUGCGUCAAGAAUAGAGAAAACCCCAAACCUGAGACAGAUCACAUUACAAAGGUCUAAGCUUCCAAUUGCUUCCUUCAAGGAUGCGAUUACAUCAACUAUAGAAUCUAAUCAGGUGGUCUUGAUCUCUGGUGAAACUGGAUGCGGUAAAACUACACAGGUCCCCCAAUUUAUUUUAGAUCAUAUGUGGGGUAAAGGCGAAACAUGUAAAAUUGUAUGUACUCAGCCACGACGAAUUUCUGCCACAUCAGUUUCUGAGAGAAUUUCUGCUGAAAGAGGCGAAAGUGUUGGGGAUACGGUUGGUUACAAGAUACGGCUGGAAAGCAGAGGUGGGAGGCAGUCAUCAAUCAUGUUUUGUACCAAUGGGAUUCUACUGAGGGUCCUGGUUACCAACAGAAGUGCCAGCUUCAACAAGGAGGCUACCGGGAAAAUGGGCAAGGAUACCAUUUCUGAUAUAACCCACAUCAUUGUGGACGAAAUUCAUGAGAGGGAUCGCUACUCCGAUUUCAUGCUCGCUAUUCUCAGGGACUUGCUUCCUUCUUAUCCAAAUUUACGUUUGGUUCUGAUGAGUGCUACACUGGAUGCUGAACGUUUUUCAAAAUACUUCGGUGGCUGCCCAGUUAUCCGAGUCCCUGGAUUUACUUAUCCUGUAAAAACAUUCUAUCUUGAGGAUGUACUUUCUAUUGUUAAGUCAACUGAAAAUAAUCACCUUGACUCCACCUCAACCAGUGUCAUGUCUGAGGAAUCAAUAUUAACAGAGGAGUACAAAGUUGCCUUAGAUGAAGCAAUUAAUCUGGCUUUUUCAGAUGAUGAUCUGGAUCCCCUUUUAGAUCUAAUAUCUUCUGAUGGGGGACCAAAAGUCUUCAAUUAUCAGCAUUCUUUGAGUGGAGUGACACCAUUGAUGGUGUUUGCUGGAAAAGGCUGCAUAGGUGACAUUUGCAUGCUCCUCUCUUUUGGUGCUGAUUGCCAUUUACGUGCUAAUGAUGGGAAAACUGCUCUAGAUUGGGCUGAGCAGGAGAAUCAGACAGAAGCUGCUGAAAUAAUUAAGAAACACGUGGAGAAAUCAUCUUCCAGCUGUGAGGAGCAGCAACAUUUACUUGACAAAUACCUAUCAACAGUUGACCCUGAACUGAUUGAUGAUGUCCUUAUUGAACAAUUAUUAAGAAAAAUAUGCAUAGACUCGGAGGACGGGGCCAUCCUUGUUUUCCUUCCUGGUUGGGAGGACAUUAACAGAACAAGAGAGAGAUUGAAAGCAAGCCACUUUUUCAAUGAUCAGUCUAAGUUUUCAGUAAUCCCUCUCCAUUCUAUGGUUCCAUCUGUCGAGCAAAAGAAGGUUUUUAGACGCCCUCCUCCAGGCUGCCGCAAAAUCGUUCUUUCAACUAAUAUUGCUGAAACUGCCAUUACCAUUGAUGAUGUUGUUUAUGUAAUAGACAGUGGACGAAUGAAAGAAAAAAGUUAUGAUCCUUAUAAUAAUGUAUCAACUCUUCAAUCUUCAUGGGUCUCAAAAGCAAGUGCAAAGCAAAGAGAAGGGCGUGCUGGGCGGUGCCAGCCAGGGAUUUGUUAUCAUCUUUAUUCAAAACUUCGAGCAGCUUCAUUGCCUGAUUUCCAGGUUCCUGAGAUUAAGAGGAUUCCUAUUGAGGAACUAUGUCUGCAGGUCAAGCUGCUUAACCCUGAUUGCAAGAUAGAAGAAUUCCUGCAGAAGACACUUGACCCUCCUGUUUACGAGACCAUACGUAAUGCAAUCAUUGUUCUUCAAGAUAUUGGGGCGUUAUCAUUUGAUGAGAAACUUACAGAGCUUGGAGAAAGGCUAGGAUCUUUACCAGUUCAUCCACUUACAAGCAAAAUGCUUUUAAUUGCCAUCUUAUUGAACUGCCUUGACCCAGCAUUGACUUUGGCUUGCGCUUCUGACUAUAGAGAUCCAUUUACCCUACCCAUGUUGCCAAAUGAGAAGAAGAGAGCUGCAGCUGCAAAAGCCGAGUUAGCCUCAUGGUAUGGUGGAAGAAGUGAUCAAUUAGCAGUUGUGGCUGCGUUUGAGGGCUGGAAAAGUGCGAAAGAAAUUGGUCAAGAAUCGAGGUUUUGUUCUAUGUACUUUGUAUCAUCAAGCACUAUGCAUAUGCUAUCAGGAAUGCGUAAACAACUUCAAUCUGAACUUUUGAGGAAUGGGUUUAUUCCAGGAGAUGGAUCUUCCUGUAACCUUAACACACAGGAUCCAGGCAUACUACAUGCUAUUCUUCUUGCUGGUUUGUACCCUAUGGUUGGAAGACUGCUCCCGCCACUGAAAGGUGGUAAGAGGGCUGUCAUAGAGACUGCAGGUGGUGAUAAAGUUCGAUUAAGCCCUCAUUCUACUAACUUCAAGCUUUCAUUCCAAAAAUUCUAUGAUCAACCAUUAAUUGUAUAUGAUGAGAUAACUCGUGGUGAUGGAGGUCUGCAUAUUAAGAAUUGUAGUGUCAUUGGGCCACUCCCACUGUUGUUGCUGGCAACAGAGAUUGUAGUGGCUCCUGGAAAUGAAGAUGAUGAUGAUGGCAAUGAUGAUGAUGAAAGUGAUUACGAAGAUGGUGAUGAGGACAAUGGCGAGGAAGAUAAUAUUAAAGCAGAUCUGUCAGAAGCCCAUCAAGGAGAGAAAAUUAUGUCUUCUCCUGAUAAUAUAGUUAAGGUCGUUGUUGAUAGAUGGAUUCCUUUUGAGUCAACAGCUCUUGAUGUUGCUCAAAUUUACUGCCUGAGAGAGAGAUUAACUGCAGCAAUUUUAUUCAAGGUCACACAUCCUGGGAAAGUUCUUCCUGAGGUUCUUGCAGCCUCUAUAAAUGCAAUGGCUUGCAUCUUGUCGUACAAUGGGAUGUCAGGAAUCUCAUUGCCGCUGGAGCCUGUGGACUCGCUUACUACAAUGGUUAGUGCUACUGAGAUUGGUCAGUCUGAUCCUGGGUGGAAUAACAGACUGGAUAUGAAUCCCAACAUUUCUCCCAAUUCAUUUGGGUACAAUGCCCGGCAUCAGCACCGCAAUAUGCAUCAUCAAAGAGGCAGCAUUCAUAUAUCAAAGGGAUCAUUUGCGCAUGGAGGAACCAUGCAAAGAGGUCAUUCUAAGCGGAAGCGUGGAAAUGGACCUUAUUAAAGCAAAGUUUAAACAGAUUUAUCCACGCAUUAACAGAGGUUUUUCUCACAGAAGCAACAGCAAGAAUCUUCCCUUUUUUGUUACUCCAAGAAGAGAGGCAAACAUGGUGGCGGACUUUCUAGCACACUAUGGAAAAACUUGAGGUUUACAUGAAAUAGUUGGACCAAAAUAUUGUUUUUCUUGGAACUAUAUAGCUUUACAUGCUUUAUUUGAAUUUUGUGAUGAUUACGUGAUUACAGUACAGAACAUUUCAGCUGUAUAUGUUGUGUAUAGGUAUGUAUAUAUAUUAUAUGUGUAGCGUAUGUAUAUUCUAUGUAUAUUUCAUAUAAUACAUAUACUAUAUAUACACUGUACAUAUUUUGUAAACUAGAUUGUGAA